UUUUAUUUUAAUGCCAGUGAGUUAACACUCAUUGUCUACACGGCGGCCUCCCUUUUGUUCCGUGAAUUAUCUCCUAAACCCAUCCCAAAGCCUCGGCUCCCACAGUACUCUUCGACCCUCCACUUUACAAAGCAGGACACCAAAGCCCGGAGAUGCUGUGAGCUGCCCGAGGUCACACGUCCGGCCGGGAUUUGAACCCACGGGGAUCUUUCUGACUCCCAGAGCUCUCUCCACCACCUCUAUCAUAAAUCUAUUAUAAUUAUGAGUAUUGCGCUAGGCAAGGUACUUAACGUUUCUGUGCCUCAGUUUCCCACGUGGAAAAUGGUGCUUGUGGACAGCAUGUUGUAAGGAUUCAGCAAGAAAUAAUAAAGUGCCGAGAACAGCGCUGUACCUUUUUGCCAUUAUCCGUUGAAUCCACCAACAGUACUGAGCAAAUUAUGUAGGCUCGACUUGCAAACUACGGUACAGAGAUCUGACUAAAUCCAGAAUCCUGCCCCAUCUCCCGCCUCUCAGGAUUGUCAUAAGGAUUGAAUGAGGUCAGGCACACGGUAGAGACAGAGCAUGAGCAGGGGAGGGCCAGAGAGAGAGGGAGACA